rnacentral:rRNA from 1 species
AACGAACGCUGGCGGCGUGCCUAACGCAUGCAAGUCGAGCGCGAAAAGGGCAACCUGAGUAGAGCGGCGCACGGGUGCGUAACACGUGGGUAAUCUGCCUUAGAGUCGAGGAUAACCUUCCGAAAGGUUGGCUAAUACUCGGUAAGCUUACGGUGUCUUCGGACGCUGUGGGAAAAGUAGGCCUCUGUUUACAAGCUUACGCUCUGAGAUGAGCCCGCGGCCCAUCGGCUAGUUGGCGGUGUAACGGACCACCAAGGCAACGACGGGUAGCUGGUCUGAGAGGACGAUCAGCCACACUGGAGCUGAGACACGGUCCAGACUCCUACGGGAGGCAGCAGUGGGGAAUUUUCCACAAUGGGCGAAAGCCUGAUGGAGCAACGCAGCGUGUGUGAUGAAGGUUUUCGGAUCGUAAAGCACUUUCGACCGGGACGAAAAACCUCUGGCUAACAUCCAGGGGCCUGACGGUACCGGGAGAAGAAGCACCGGCUAACUCUGUGCCAGCCGCCGCAGUAA